CCUACGGGAGGCUGCAGUAGGGAAUAUUGCUCAAUGGGGGAAACCCUGAAGCAGCAACGCCGCGGGGAGGCUGAAGGUUUUAGGAUUGUAAACUCCUUUUGUGAGAGAAGAUAAUGAUGGUAUCUCACGAAUAAGCACCGGCUAACUCCGUGCCAGCAGCCGCGGUAAUACGGAGGGUGCAAGCGUUACUCGGAAUCACUGGGCGGAAAGAGUGCGCAGGCUGGCUUGUAAGUCAGAUGUGAAAUCCUGUAGCUUAACUACAGAACUGCAUUUGAAACUGUUAUUCUAGAGUAUGGGAGAGGGAGGUGGAAUUCUUGGUGUAGGGGUAAAAUCCGUAGAGAUCAAGAGGAAUACUCAUUGCGAAGGCGACCUGCUAGAACAUAACUGACGCUGAUGCGCAAAAGCGUGGGGAGCAAACAGGAGUAGAUACCCCGGUAGUC
rnacentral:rRNA from 1 species